rnacentral:rRNA from 1 species
UACGUAGGGUGCAAGCGUUAAUCGGAAUUACUGGGCGUAAAGCGUGCGCAGGCGGCUUUGCAAGACAGUUGUGAAAUCCCCGGCUCAACCUGGGAACUGCAUCUGUGACUGCAUCGCUGGAGUACGGUAGAGGGGGAUGGAAUUCCGCGUGUAGCAGUGAAAUGCGUAGAUAUGCGGAGGAACACCGAUGGCGAAGGCAAUCCCCUGGACCUGUACUGACGCUCAUGCACGAAAGCGUGGGGAGCAAACAGG